AACGAACGCUGGUGGCAGGCUUAACACAUGCAAGUCGAGCGCCCCGCAAGGGGAGCGGCAGACGGGUGAGUAACGCGUGGGAAUCUACCCAUCUCUACGGAAUAACGCAUGGAAACGUGUGCUAAUACCGUAUACGUCCUUCGGGAGAAAGAUUUAUCGGAGAUGGAUGAGCCCGCGUUGGAUUAGCUAGUUGGUGGGGUAAAGGCCUACCAAGGCGACGAUCCAUAGCUGGUCUGAGAGGAUGAUCAGCCACACUGGGACUGAGACACGGCCCAGACUCCUGCGGGAGGCAGCAGUGGGGAAUAUUGGACACUGGGCGCAAGCCUGAUCCAGCCAUGCCGCGUGAGUGAUGAAGGCCCUAGGGUUGUAAAGCUCUUUCACCGGUGAAGAUAAUGACGGUAACCGGAGAAGAAGCCCCGGCUAACUUCGUGCCAGCAGCCGCCGUAAGAC
rnacentral:rRNA from 1 species